rnacentral:rRNA from 1 species
UACGGGGGGGGCAAGCGUUGUUCGGAAUUACUGGGCGUAAAGGGCUCGUAGGCGGCCAACUAAGUCAGACGUGAAAUCCCUCGGCUUAACCGGGGAACUGCGUCUGAUACUGGAUGGCUUGAGUUUGGGAGAGGGACGCGGAAUUCCAGGUGUAGCGGUGAAAUGCGUAGAUAUCUGGAGGAACACCGGUGGCGAAGGCGGCGUCCUGGACCAACACUGACACUGAUGAGCGAAAGCCAGGGGAGCAAAGCGGG